ACAUGCCUACAACAUAGCAUUAAUGCAGCGGAUCCCAUUAGAACUCUGCAAUUAAGCGUACUCAGGCUAGAGUAGUACUGAGAUGGGUGAUCGCCCAAGAAGUCCUAGUGUUUUACAUGCC
rnacentral:rRNA from 1 species